ACUCCUACGGGAGGCAGCAGUGGGAAUAUUGCACAAUGGGCGCAAGCCUGAUGCAGCCAUGCCGCGUGUAUGAAGAAGGCCUUCGGGUUGUAAAGUACUUUCAGCAGUGAGGAAGGUGGAUGCGUUAAUAGCGUAUUCAUUUGACGUUAGCUGCAGAAGAAGUACCGGCUAACUACGUGCCAGCAGCCGCGGUAAUACGUAGGGUACGAGCGUUGUCCGGAAUUAUUGGGCGUAAAGAGCUCGUAGGUGGUUGGUCACGUCUGCUGUGGAAACGCAACGCUUAACGUUGCGCGUGCAGUGGGUACGGGCUGACUAGAGUGCAGUAGGGGAGUCUGGAAUUCCUGGUGUAGCGGUGAAAUGCGCAGAUAUCAGGAGGAACACCGGUGGCGAAGGCGGGACUCUGGGCUGUAACUGACACUGAGGAGCGGAAAGCAUGGGGAGCG
rnacentral:rRNA from 1 species